rnacentral:rRNA from 1 species
UACGGAGGGUGCAAGCGUUAUCCGGAUUCACUGGGUUUAAAGGGUGCGUAGGUGGGCAGUUUAAGUCAGUGGUGAAAUCUCCGGGCUUAACCCGGAAACUGCCAUUGAUACUAUCUGUCUUGAAUAUCGUGGAGGUAAGCGGAAUAUGUCAUGUAGCGGUGAAAUGCUUAGAUAUGACAUAGAAUACCAAUUGCGAAGGCAGCUUACUACCCGAAUAUUGACACUGAGGCACGAAAAGCGUGGGGGAUCAAAACAGG